AACGCUGGCGGCGUGCCUAAUACAUGCAAGUCGAGCGAAUGGAUUGAGAAGCUUGCUCUCAAGAAGUUAGCGGCGGACGGGUGAGUAACACGUGGGUAACCUGCCCAUAAGACUGGGAUAACUCCGGGAAACCGGGGCUAAUACCGGAUAACAUUUUGAACUGCAUGGUUCGAAAUUGAAAGGCGGCUUCGGCUGUCACUUAUGGAUGGACCCGCGUCGCAUUAGCUAGUUGGUGAGGUAACGGCUCACCAAGGCAACGAUGCCGUAGCCGACCUGAGAGGGUGAUCGGCCACACNUGGGACUGAGACACGGCCCAGACUCCUACGGGAGGCAGCAGUAGGGAAUCUUCCGCAAUGGACGAAAGUCUGACGGAGCAACGCCGCGUGAGUGAUGAAGGCUUUCGGGUCGUAAAACUCUGUUGUUAGGGAAGAACAAGUGCUAGUUGAAUAAGCUGGCACCUUGACGGUACCUAACCAGAAAGCCACGGCUAACUACGUGCCAGCAGCCGCGGUAAUACGUAGGUGGCAAGCGUUAUCCGGAAUUAUUUGGGCGUAAAGCGCGCGCAGGUGGUUUCUUAAGUCUGAUGUGAAAGCCCACGGCUCAACCGUGGGAGGGUCAUUGGAAACUGGGAGACUUGAGUGCAGAAAAGAAAGUGGAAUUCCAUGUGUA
rnacentral:rRNA from 1 species